GACGAACGCUGGCGGCGUGCUUAACACAUGCAAGUCGAACGGAAAGGCCCUGCUUUUGUGGGGUGCUCGAGUGGCGAACGGGUGAGUAACACGUGAGUAACCUGCCCUUGACUUUGGGAUAACUUCAGGAAACUGGGGCUAAUACCGGAUAGGAGCUCCUGCUGCAUGGUGGGGGUUGGAAAGUUUCGGCGGUUGGGGAUGGACUCGCGGCUUAUCAGCUUGUUGGUGGGGUAGUGGCUUACCAAGGCUUUGAUGGGUAGCCGGCCUGGGAGGGUGACCGGCCACCUGGCGACUGAGAUACGCCCCAGACUCCUACGGGGGGCAGCAGUGGGAAGUAUUGCACAGUGGGCGGGAGCCUGAUACAGCGACGCCGCGUGCGGGAUGACGGCCUUCGGGUUGUGAACCGCAUUCGCCUGUGACGAAGCGUGAGUGACGGUAAUGGGUGAAGAAGCACCGGCUAACUACGUG
rnacentral:rRNA from 1 species